UAAACCACGAUAGGUCACGAUUUCUGGAAUGGAUCAUGGCCUAAAUCUACAUGGCCCCUGGAUUGGACUGCGGCCGAUCAGGCAGUUGGUGAGGUAAUGGCCCACCAAACCUAUAACCGGUACGGGCUCUGAGAGGAGAAGCCCGGAGAUGGGCACUGAGACAAGGGCCCAGGCCCUAUGGGGCGCAGCAGGCGCGAAACCUCUGCAAUAGGCGAAAGCCUGACAGGGUUACUCUGAGUGAUUUCCGCUAAGGGGAUCUUUUGGCACCUCUAAAAAUGGUGCAGAAUAAGGGGUGGGCAAGUCUGGUGUCAGCCGCCGCGGUAAUACCAGCACCCCGAGUGGUCGGGACGAUUAUUGGGCCUAAAGCAUCCGUAGCCGGUUCUGCAAGUCUUCCGUUAAAUCCAGCCGCUCAACGGAUGGGCCGCGGAGGAUACUAUAGGACUAGGAGGCGGGAGAGGCAAGCGGUACUCAGUGGGUAGGGGUAAAAUCCUUUGAUCCAUUGAAGACCACCAGUGGCGAAGGCGGCUUGCCAGAACGCGCUCGACGGUGAGGGAUGAAAGCUGGGGGAGCAAACCGGAUUAGAUACCCGGGUAGUCCCAGCUGUAAACGAUGCA
rnacentral:rRNA from 1 species